AAAAAGGGUUCCUGUCAUGAGUGACACACGUAGGGCAGCUCAUUCGCUCUAUGUGCAGAAUCGACAUCGAGAUUUUGGAAGCAUAAUUUUUAUUGUUUGGGCAGCUGGUGAUCGUUGGUCCCAA
rnacentral:snRNA from 1 species